CACGCAGUAAACGAUGAUUACUGGUUGUUUGCGAUACACAGUAAGCGACUGAGCGAAAGCGUUAAGUAAUCCACCUGGGGAGUACGUUCGCAAGAAUGAAACUCAAAGGAAUUGACGGGGGCCCGCACAAGCGGAGGAACAUGUGGUUUAAUUCGAUGAUACGCGAGGAACCUUACCCGGGCUUGAAAUGCAUCUGACGUAACCAGAGACGGUUAUUUUCUUCGGAACAGAUGUGUAGGUGC
rnacentral:rRNA from 1 species